UACAUCGUACAGCUCGGGCUGCUGGUCAAUGUAGACGACGAUGCUCUCGAACUCGUCAGACAUGAGGUACUGGAGGGCGGCCUGCACCUCAGCAUCGUUUGCGACGUAGGUGAGGACGAUGUUGACGAUUUCGUCGACGGGAAUGAGGGCCAGGAAGUCGUUCAGGUCAUCCUGCAGGUUGCGGCUGGAUUUUUUUGCUGGGAAACGCUGGAUCAUCUUUGCACCUCGGAUGGGCU